UAUAUUACACUAAUAACUACAUAAUUAACCAGUAACGGUCAGUAAUCUAAUUUAAAUUGAUUAUAUCUGAAUACUUUUUCAUAAGAUUUCCUUUUACAGGAACAUUGGAAGAACUUCGGAUACCAUUAAAUUAUGAAAUUAUGGAACAUUGGUUGUAUUAGUCCUCAUUUGCCCCAGAAAGUAGCUGUAGUCAUGGUCCUAAAGAAAGUACGAAAAUACCUUUUUUCCAUUGGGAAUGAAAACAGUGUGCUGAGAAAAUGGAUUUAUGACAAUGAACUGAUUGUCCCACAAAUGAGAAUGAAUUGCAGUUAAUUUUGAUGCUACUGAAACAACCGACGCUUUUAACGUCUUCACCGUGCAACAUUAUGCAGUUUAUUUUAGCUGUAACAAUGGGAGGCAAUUGGAAAUUAAUUUGGAAACAACAAAUUGUCUGCAGUGAUAUCCUUCCUAGAUUUGGCUUGCUCAUCACACUGGUAGACUUUAGAAUGUCACUUUCUACAAUUAAUUAAGGUUAUACUACAAAUGAGAGAGAAUUAAUGUUCAGUUUUGUCAUACUGAAAUAGCCAAUGUGUACAUGGGUGUGGUCUUUGGUGGUUUAUAUUCUUGAUUUGCUGUUUCGUCUUCCCUUUGUAACAUUGUGCAGUUAAUUUUCAACCCAUGAGUGAGAGCAACUGGAUAUUUGAAUUCCACUGAAAUAACAAAUUGUCUGCAGAUUUGAUUUGCUCAGCACACUGGCAGACUUUAGAACGCCACCUUCUACAAUUAAUUAAGAUUGUCCCACAAAUGACGAGGGAUUGUAGUUAAUUUUGAUGCUACUGAAGCAACCGAUGCUUUUGAUGUCUUCACCUUGCAACAUUAUGCAGUUAACUUUAGCCAUAACAACGGGAGGCAGUUGGAAAUUAAUUAAUUUGGAAGCGACUGGAACAACAAAUUGUUUGCAAUGAUCCCUCCUAGAUUUGGCUUGUUCAUCACACUGGUAGACUUUAGAACGCCACUUUCUACAAUUAAUUAAAGUUAUACAACAAAUGAGAGAGAAUUAAUGUUCAGUUUUGUCAUACUGAAAUAGCCAAUGUGUACGUGGGUGUGGUCUUUCGUGGUUUAUAUUCUUGAUUUGCUGUUUCGUCUUCACCUUGUAACAUCAUGCAGUUAAUUUUCAACCCAUGAGUGAGAGCAACUGGAUAUUUAUUUGAAUUCCACUGAAAUAACAAUUUCUCUGCUACGGUGUUCCUCCUGGAGUUAGUUUGCUUUUCACACCUGUAAACUAACUUUGGAACGUUACGUUCUACAUUUAAUUAAGAUCGACGUUGGAGAAGACAAAGAUGACCCCGUAG
rnacentral:lncRNA from 1 species